rnacentral:rRNA from 1 species
GAUGAACGCUAGCUACAGGCUUAACACAUGCAAGUCGCGGGGCAGCAUGGGGGUUGCUUGCAAUCCCCGAUGGCGACCGGCGCACGUGUGAGUAACGCGUACCCCACCUGACCUUCACCACAGGUUAACCCGGCGAAAGUCGGACCAAUAACGUACGUUGUCUGUUGACGGCAGCCGGGUUGGUCGAAAGGGUUGGCGGUGAAGGAGGGGGUUGCCGCCGUUUAGCUGGACGGCGGGGUGACGGCGGACCGGGGCGAUGAUCGGUAGGGGUUCUUCGGGGAAGGGCCCUCACACUGGGACUGAGCCCCGGGCCAGAGUCCUACGGGAGGCAGCAGUGAGGAAUAUUGGUCAAUGGGCGUAAGCCUGAACGAGGCAAGUAGCGUGCAGGAUGGCGGCCCUAUGGGUUGUAAACUGCUUUUAUGCGGGGAGAAAGUGGCCCACGUGUGGGUUUUUGCAGGUACCGCAUGAAUAAGGACCGGCUAAUUCCGUG